AAUUUUGGACAAUGGGGGCAACCCUUAUCCAGCCAUCCCGCGUGUGCGAUGAAUGCCUUCGUGUUGUAAAGCACUUUUGGCAGGUAAGAAAAGGCUCUGUUUAAUACCUACAGCUGCUGACGGUACCUGCAGAAUAAGCAUCGGCUAACUACGUUCAAGCAGCCGCGGUAAUACGUAGGGUGCAAGCGUUAAUCGGAAUUACUGGGCGUAAAGGGUGCGCAGGCGGUUUGGCAAGAAGGAUGUGAGAUCCCGGGGCUUAACCUCGGAACUGCAUUCUUAACUGCGAGGCUAGAGUAUGUCAGAGGGGGGUAGAAUUCCGCGUGUAGCAGUGAAAUGCGUAGAGAUGCGGAGGAAUACCGAUGGCGAAGGCAGCCCCCUGGGAUAAUACUGACGCUCAGGCACGAAAGCGUGGGGAGCAAAC
rnacentral:rRNA from 1 species